CACGUAGUUAGCCGGUGCUUCUUUACCCAUUACCGUCACUCACGCUUCGUCACAGGCGAAAGCGGUUUACAACCCGAAGGCCGUCAUCCCGCACGCGGCGUUGCUGCAUCAGGCUUCCGCCCAUUGUGCAAUAUUCCCCACUGCUGCCUCCCGUAGGAGUCUGGGCCGUAUCUCAGUCCCAAUGUGGCCGAUCACCCUCUCAGGCCGGCUACCCGUCAAAGCCUUGGUAAGCCACUACCCCACCAACAAGCUGAUAAGCCGCGAGUCCAUCCCCAACCGCCGAAACUUUCCAACCCCCACCAUGCAGCAGGAGCUCCUAUCCGGUAUUGGCCCCAGUUUCCUGAAGUUAUCCCAAAGUCAAGGGCAGGUUACUCACGUGUUACUCACCCGUUGCCACUCGAGCACCCCACAAAAGCAGGGCCUUUCCGUUCGACUUGCAUGUGUUAAGCACGCCGCCAGCGUUGUCCUGAGCCAGGAUCAAACUCU
rnacentral:rRNA from 1 species